rnacentral:rRNA from 1 species
UGGGGAAUAUUGGACAAUGGGCGCAAGCCUGAUCCAGCCAUGCCGCGUGAACGAUGAAGGCCUUAGGGUUGUAAAGUUCUUUUGUCAGGGAAGAUAAUGACGGUACCUGAAGAAUAAGCACCGGCUAACUUCGUGCCAGCAGCCGCGGUAAUACGAAGGGUGCUAGCGUUGUUCGGAAUCACUGGGCGUAAAGGGCGCGUAGGCGGCAAUUCAAGUCAUCUGUGAAAUCUCCGGGCUUAACUCGGAACGGUCAGAUGAUACUGCUUUGCUAGAGUGCAGAAGGGGCAAUCGGAAUUCUUGGUGUAGCGGUGAAAUGCGUAGAUAUCAAGAGGAACACCUGAGGUGAAGACGGGUUGCUGGGCUGACACUGACGCUGAGGCGCGAAAGCCAGGGGAGCAAACGGGAUUAGAUACCCUUGUAGUCCCUG